rnacentral:rRNA from 1 species
UACGGAGGGCGCAAGCGUUUUUCGGAAUCACUGGGCGUAAAGCGCGUGCAGGCGGCUUGGCAAGUCGGGUGUGAAAGCCCGGGGCCCAACCCCGGAACUGCAUCCGAAACUGCCUCGCUCGAGUCCCGGAGAGGGUGGCGGAAUUUCCGGUGUAGAGGUGAAAUUCGUAGAUAUCGGAAGGAACACCAGUGGCGAAGGCGGCCACCUGGACGGUGACUGACGCUGAGACGCGAAAGCGUGGGGAGCAAACAGG